rnacentral:rRNA from 1 species
UGGGUUUGACAUGCACAGGACGCUGGUAGAGAUAUCAGUUCCCUUGUGGCCUGUGUGCAGGUGGUGCAUGGCUGUCGUCAGCUCGUGUCGUGAGAUGUUGGGUUAAGUCCCGCAACGAGCGCAACCCUCGCCCUUAGUUGCCAGCAUUUAGUUGGGCACUCUAAGGGGACUGCCGGUGAUAAGCCGAGAGGAAGGUGGGGAUGACGCCAAGUCCUCAUGGCCCUUACGGGCUGGGCUACACACGUGCUACAAUGGUGGUGACAGUGGGCAGCGAAGGAGCGAUCCCGAGCUAAUCUCCAAAAGCCAUCUCAGUUCGGAUUGCACUCUGCAACUCGAGUGCAUGAAGUUGGAAUCGCUAGUAAUCGCGGAUCAGCACGCCGCGGUGAAUACGUUCCC